CAGUAACGGCGAGUGAAGCGGCAAUAGCUCAAAUUUGAAAUCUGGCUCCUUUGGGGUCCGAAUUGUAAUUUGUAGAGAGUGCUUCGGGCGAGACCUCGGUCUAAGUCCAUUGGAACAUGGUGUCAUAGAGGGUGAGAAUCCCGUAUGCGACCGUGGCUCGAGCCCAUGUGAAGCCUCUUCGACGAGUCGAGUUGUUUGGGAAUGCAGCUCAAAACGGGUGGUAAAUUUCAUCUAAAGCUAAAUACUGGCUGGAGACCGAUAGCGCACAAGUAGAGUGAUCGAAAGAUGAAAAGCACUUUGGAAAGAGAGUCAAACAGUACGUGAAAUUGUUGAAAGGGAAGCGCUUGCAACCAGACCUGCCCGUAGGCGAUCAGCCGCUGUUCUCAGCGGUGCACUCGCUCUGCGAUCAGGCCAGCAUCGGUUUCGGCGGUCGGAUAAAGGCCUUGGGAAUGUAGCUUCCCCUCGGGGGAGUCUUAUAGCCCUCGGUGUAAUGCGGCCAGCCGGGACCGAGGACCGCGCUUCGGCUAGGAUGCUGGCGUAAUGGUUGUAAGCGACCCGUCUUGAAACACGGACCAAGGAGUCUAACAUCUAUGCGAGUGUUUGGGUGUCAAACCCAUACGCGGAAUGAAAGUGAACGGAGGUGAGAACCCUUAAGGGCGCAUCAUCGACCGAUCCAGAUGUCUUCGGAUGGAUUUGAGUAUGAGCAUAGCUGUUGGGACCCGAAAGAUGGUGAACUAUGCCUGAAUAGGGUGAAGCCAGAGGAAACUCUGGUGGAGGCUCGCAGCGGUUCUGACGUGCAAAUCGAUCGUCAAAUUUGGGUAUAGGGGCGAAAGACUAAUC
rnacentral:rRNA from 1 species